GUCUAUGGCCAUGCCACCCUGAAAGUGCCUGAUCUCAUUAGAUCUUGGAAGCUAAGCAGAGUUGGGCCUGGUUAGUACUUGGAUGGGAGACCACCUAGGAAUACCAGGUGCUGUAGGAG
rnacentral:rRNA from 1 species